AUUGAACGCUGGCGGCAGGCCUAACACAUGCAAGUCGAGCGAGCGGCGGACGGGUGAGUAAUGUCUGGGAAACUUCCUGCUGGAGGGGGAUAACUACUGGAAACGGUAGCUAAUACCGCAUACCAUCAGAUGUGCCCAGAUGGGAUUAGCUAGUAGGUGGGGUAACGGCUCACCUAGGCGACGCUCCCUAGCUGGUCUGAGAGGAUGACCAGCCAAACUGGAACUGAGACACGGUGCAGACUACUACGGUAGGCAGCAGUGGGGAAUAUUGCACAAUGGGCGCAAGCCUGAUGCAGCCAAGCCGAGUGUGUGAGGAAGGACUGCGGGUUGUAAAACACUUUCAGCGGGGAGGCGUUACCCGCAGAAGACGCACCGGGUGACGCAGUGCCAGCAGCCGCGGUAAUAC
rnacentral:rRNA from 1 species